CAGUCGAACGGCAGCACGGGAGCAAUCCUGGUGGCGAGUGGCGAACGGGUGAGUAAUACAUCGGAACGUGCCCAAUCGUGGGGGAUAACGCAGCGAAAGCUGUGCUAAUACCGCAUACGAUCUACGGAUGAAAGCAGGGGACCGCAAGGCCUUGCGCGAAUGGAGCGGCCGAUGGCAGAUUAGGUAGUUGGUGGGGUAAAGGCUCACCAAGCCAACGAUCUGUAGCUGGUCUGAGAGGACGACCAGCCACACUGGGACUGAGACACGGCCCAGACUCCUACGGGAGGCAGCAGUGGGGAAUUUUGGACAAUGGGCGAAAGCCUGAUCCAGCAAUGCCGCGUGCAGGAUGAAGGCCUUCGGGUUGUAAACUGCUUUUGUACGGAACGAAACGGUCUUUUCUAAUACAAAAGGCUAAUGACGGUACCGUAAGAAUAAGCACCGGCUAACUACGUGCCAGCAGCCGCGGUAAUACGUAGGGUGCAAGCGUUAAUCGGAAUUACUGGGCGUAAAGCGUGCGCAGGCGGUUAUGUAAGACAGUUGUGAAAUCCCCGGGCUCAACCUGGGAAUUGCAUCUGUGACUGCAUAGCUAGAGUACGGUAGAGGGGGAUGGAAUUCCGCGUGUAGCAGUGAAAUGCGUAGAUAUGCGGAGGAACACCGAUGGCGAAGGCAAUCCCCUGGACCUGUACUGACGCUCAUGCACGAAAGCGUGGGGAGCAAACAGGAUUAGAU
rnacentral:rRNA from 1 species